UCCCCUGUGGCUCAGUUGGUAGAGCAUGGUGUGUGCAACGCCAGGGUUGUGGGUUCGAUUCCCACGGGGGGCC
rfam:Salmo salar isolate Sally breed double haploid chromosome ssa09, whole genome shotgun sequence.